rnacentral:rRNA from 1 species
UACGUAGGGUGCGAGCGUUAAUCGGAAUUACUGGGCGUAAAGCGUGCGCAGGCGGUUCGUUAAGUUCGUUGUGAAAGCCCCGGGCUCAACCUGGGAACUGCAAUGGAAACUGGCGGGCUUGAGUGUGGCAGAGGGGGGUGGAAUUCCGCGUGUAGCAGUGAAAUGCGCAGAUAUCAGGAGGAACACCGGUGGCGAAGGCGGUUCUCUGGGCCUUACCUGACGCUGAGGAGCGAAAGCGUGGGGAGCAAACAGG